GCUGGGUAUGGUGGCUCAUACCUGUAAUCCCAGCACUUUGGGGAGUUGAGGCAGGAGGAUUCCUUGAGCCCAGGAAUUCGAGGUGGCUGUGAGCUAUGAUCACACCACUGCACCCUAGCCUGGGCAACAGAGCAAGACCCUGUCUCAA
rnacentral:SRP_RNA from 1 species